rnacentral:sRNA from 1 species
CUUGAGAUAAAUUUUACUUGUACGUGGAUGUGAAGAAAAUUCGUGAAUAUGUUGACAUCAUAGAAGAUGAAGGUUAGUUAGAGAUUUCAACUAAAUUCCAAAGACACUUUUAUGUGUUUUACCAUAUUGACUUGGCUAAAAGUGGACUGACGUGAAUUUCUGCUGUUCAAAUUGGUCCCCCUAGGUUAAAAUGAACAGGUCUUGAUGAUGCGCUCUGCAUUAUCUUCUGCAUUAUUUCUAUUUCAGCCACAAGCUUUUCAGAUGCUAUCCUACUCUAAAAGUGCGACAUGAUAAGAGGAACUAGAUCAUGUUUCUUCCAUAAUGCUGUCUCCUUUAAUUGUUCUUCAAAAGCAUUAGCCUUCUUCUAUGUUCAGUGCCUAGUGCCUAGAGUUGUGUGGUGUUACGCUGUCUUGUGAUAUAAACUAUCAUGUGGGGAGACAGAUCCAUGAAAGAGGCCAUUUUAGAGUGGUGCAAAGUUUUGUUAAAGAUGAUUUUGUUUCAACUAUGAUACUCUAUUCUUAGAAAUGUAUAUGGUUUUUUAUUAUUUUUUUCCCUGGGAAUACGCGUUAUAGUAACCAAAGGAUACUUGUUGCAGUGAAGAAAGUAGCUCAGACUUUUGUACCUAACGAUCAAUCCCAGACACAAUGUAAAAGGCGUUGUGGUUCGUUACCACAGCUAAGACAGACAGCAUGAGCAUUGCCUGAUAAAUGCCGAUGAAAUCUAUAGCAUUUUGUUGGCAUCAACGUGCAACUUGCAACAGCAGCUCUAACAAAACUAACAUGGCAUUCUCUGGAACAUUUAAAUUCCAGAGAAGCAGUACCAAGAAUCUUUUAUUGGUCCAAGAUCAUUUAUUUAGGACAUGUUUGGCUACAAACUAAAAAUGUUCGAGAUUUUUCUUUUAAAAAUAUAGUCUACACUCAGACACAGUACCAUAUAGCCGAACUAGCAGUAGCAGUAGCAGCUUUUAAUGGAUCUCUUACAGUCACGGUGACAGUUAUUAUUAUCCAAG